GGUUCCAUAGUGUAGUGGUUAGCAUGUCUGCAUUACACGCAGAAAGUCCUGAGUUCGAUCCCCAGUGGAACCA